ACACACACACACACACACACACACACACACACACACACACACACACACACACACACACACACACACACACACACACACACACACACACACACACAGCUUGGACCCCUCUCUCUGUGCUUGGUCAAUUGGAGUAGGGGAACCCUCCCACAACGCUCUGACAACCUCGGGACAACGUUGUGGCAACAUUCACUGUUAGUUAGCAAAGGAUUCUAACCAAGGAUGUAGUGGUAAAUAAAAUAGUGGGUAAACAAACCGCUGAAGCCCGGUGGGGCGGCGAGUAACAUAAACAUUAGCUAAUGCUAAGAAUGACACUUGAGCAUAGUAGAUGUGUUAACACUGUUCACCAAGUAAAGGGGUGUUUAAACAAAGUAAAGGGGUGUUUAAACAAAGUAAAGGGGUGUUUAAACAAAGUAAAGGGGUGUUUAAACAAAGUAAAGGGGUGUUUAAACAAAGUAAAGGGGAGUUUAAACAAAGUAAAGGAGUGUUUAAACAACAAUUAACACUGUUCACCAAGUAAAGGGGUGUUUAAACAAAGUAAAGGGGUGUUUAAACAAAGUAAAGGGGUGUUUAAACAAAGUAAAGGGGUGUUUAAACAACAAUUAACACUGUUCACCAAGUAAAGGGGAGUUUAAACAAAGUAAAGGAGUGUUUAAACAACAAUUAACACUGUUCACCAACUAAAGGGGUGUUUAAACAACAGUUUACGAGCGUUUACCCUCCUACAUCCCUGGGUCGUAUUCAUCAAGCAGCAAAUGAAGAAAACUAACGGAAACGGGGAGAGGGACUAUCUGGCCUUGUCCUGUAAGAAAUGCUCAUUUCCGUUUUCCAUUGCAAAACAUUUUCCAACAUUGUCCAUUGCGUGUCUUAAUGAAUAGGACCCUGGUGCUGUAUGCACAGGAAUAGUGGCUAGUUGUCUGGUCUGCUCCUUUAUGCUGUACAAAAGUGAUUAGUUCUAUGGAUAGUGAUAUUGAUCAUCAAUAAUAUGUCAAUGUUCCAGGCUGGAUGGUAAAUGAUAAUAUUGAUAAUACUCCAACGGGAGCAUAUGUAUUUAGCAUUUUCAAAAGUUUAUAUGUAAAUAUCAUUGUCUGUCAUUGUCACUCUAACCACGAUCACUGUUUCUAUAUCACGUCGGUCUGUGGCGCUGUGCUCUCAACACACACACACACACACACAUGCAAACACACACACACACACACACAAGCACGUGUUCACACGCUCGAACACAGACAUACACACACAAACAUACAUAUCACCUGCGCUUCAUUGACUAAAUAUACAUCAAUCAUAUCAGUCAACAUAUCAUUGUCCUCAUCAGACAAGAUGGUUUCAGUACGUUAUUGAUAAGUCAUCAAUCCGUUUCAGGUUGGUUAGAGUUUGGUCCGUUGUGUAAAAGCAAAAUCGUGUAUCCAUCCAAUCUCCUGCAUGCUCUUUCUUUCUCUUAUUCCAUUGGUUGUCUGUCUGGGGGUGGGCGGUUCUUUGUAACUGUGAGGGUGGGACUUACGAUGCUGAAAGUGACUCUUCAAGUAGAAGUUGUCCAUCGGUAAGUGUGGGGACAGGAGUUUGGUUGGGGGCUGUGGGUAGGUGUGGGGACAGGAGUUGUGCUUUCUAUCUAAGAUUGUAACAAUAACCAACACAACAGUACAAUACCAUGCUAAUAAUACAACCAGGCUAAUAUCUUCUAAUAUACUAUAGAACAACUGCAUGGGAGUCAAACUAUACUAGUGUGUGUGUGUGUGUGUGUGUGUGUGUGUGUGUGUGUGUGUGUGUGUGAGGGGUGUUCUCUGAGAGGAAUAUACUGUGGGCAGGUGUGUAUUUUACCUGUUCCAGCAGUUCUGACGCUCUUCCAUAGUCAGGUAGUCACACCUGUAGACGUGUGUGUGUGUGUGUGUGUGUGUGUGUGUGUGUGUGUGUGUGUGUGUGUGUGUAGAUCUCACCUGUUCACUGCUGAAUGUGGGGCUAGUCUGCUUUUUCACACAGUCUGUCUCUCUGUUUGUAUUAGGACUGACUGACACACACAUCACAGUGUGUGUGUGUAUGUGUGUGUGUGUGUGUGUGCCAAGCCGUAUUCACGGUUACCCAUCCUGUUUUUAUACAUGUACAUUUUUUAAGGCUGAGUUUCUGUCAUUGACUGCUGGGCGCCGGGAGACGGACCUCCUCGCAACAGCCCUGCCACUCUGUUCCAAAUAAAAGACCUCAUUGGUUAA